UACGUAGGGAGCAAGCGUUGUCCGGAAUCAUUGGGCGUAAAGCGCGCGUAGGCGGCCCUGUAAGUCCGUUGUGAAAGUCAAAGGCUCAACCUUUGAAAGCCGAUGGAUACUGCAGGGCUAGAGUCCGGAAGAGGCGAGUGGAAUUCCUGGUGUAGCGGUGGAAUGCGCAGAUAUCAGGAGGAACACCAAUAGCGAAGGCGGCGUUCUGGACUGCAACUGACACUGAGGGAACGAAAGCCAGGGGAGCAAACGGG
rnacentral:rRNA from 1 species